AAUAAUGGCAGCGGCGAGUGAUGAUAGCAGCGACUGAUGGCAGCAGCGACUGAUGGCAGCGAUGUGAUGUGAUGGCAGCAGCGAUUGAUGGCAGCGAUGUGAUGGAGUUGACGUAGCAAAAUUGGACACUUGGCGACACUAUAUAUUUACGAGGUUUGGUAGCGGCACUGGAAGCGCCGAGACUAUUUCGAACCACUUGGUGUUAUUAACGUGAAACACACUGUACCGCACCUUCUUCACGUCACGUAUACGCGUAUAUAUGUAUGUAUAUUUAGAUUUACAAAGGAUGUCGCUUGGCGCAACACUCGCUUUGAUGCGGAUUGUGGCUAGACAUGCAUUCACCGGAGUGAAUGAUAGUACUCGGCGACGGAGUCUCUC